CCCACCACGCUGCAUUCACUUGCUCGCCCCCCACCCACCUCGGUGAAGCUAGUAACACCAGCAGGUAGCUAACCAGCUAAAACAACUGCUUAGCUGCUCGGACACCUGUACUGCUGUGGUGAAUUGUCUCCUGUCGUGUGCACAUGACAAAAUAUCUGAAGGUACCUCUGGCUAACUACAGGGACCAGGUGCAUCACCCCACACACACACACACACACACACCGGGGUUUUUAUCCCCCCCCGGCCACCAUUGUGUGUUAAAGCUAGCUGGCUAGCAGCAGGACUCGACCAAUGUUGGCAGCAGUUUGGGUUUUAAUUCAUUCUGGCAGAAGUUUAAUCACACAGCUGGGCGAGAUAAUGUUAAUAUUAAACUGUGUCAUUGUGGGAUUGUGGUCGGUGCAGUUUCCUUAUCUUAAUGCCUUUUUUAAAUGUGUUUUCCUGGUCCUGAAGGCUGCAUUAGCCAGAUUAAAGUGAUCAAAUAUGUAAUCUGUUGUAGCUGAGUGAAAUGACAACCCACAGUGCUAAAUGUAAUUUUUAAUCUCCAAAUUAGUUUAGAUGUUAUAGUGAAACACCAAAAAUGUCCCCACAUUUGUUGUAAUAUACUGACAACUUUGAGUUUGUUAGCAUCAAUUCAGCCAAUCACCUCUCUGUGUAUUAGGAUGCUGUCUGUUCUCUUUUAAACAAACUUAUCUUGAUCCUGCAGGGUUGCUCUUGUACAUAUCCAUAUACACACUGUCCUGCUCUGAGGGGCCUAAACAUACAGGACCUUAUCAUUUCAGACAGGCUGGGGAGGGUUGGGGGGUCAUUGUGCAAAACAAGACAACAGUACAUGCGUAAAUGCGUUGAUAACAUUUACGUAAGUAUGUCGGGACGUACACACAGAUGUUCUCGCCA